CUAAUCUGCCCUACACUAGAGGACAACAGUUGGAAACGACUGCUAAUACUCUAUACUCCUCUCUAGCAUAAGUUAGAUAGGGAAAGUUUUUCGGUGUAGGAUGAGGCUAUAUUGUAUCAGCUAGUUGGUGAGGUAAUGGCUCACCAAGGCUAUGACGCAUAACUGGUCUGAGAGGAUGAUCAGUCACACUGGAACUGAGACACGGUCCAG
rnacentral:rRNA from 1 species